CAGUAGCCGCGGGAAUACGUAGGUGGCAAGCGUUGUCCGGAAUUAUUGGGCGUAAAGGGCUCGCAGGCGGUUUCUUAAGUCUGAUGUGAAAGCCCCCGGCUCAACCGGGGAGGGUCAUUGGAAACUGAGAAACUUGAGUGCAGAAGAGGAGAGUGGAAUUCCACGUGUAGCGGUGAAAUGCGUAGAUAUCGGAAGGAACACCAGUGGCGAAGGCGGCUACCUGGACUGACACUGACACUGAGGCGCGAAAGCGUGGGGAGCAAACAGGAUUAGAUACCCCCGUAGUCCCUGUCUCUUAUAA
rnacentral:rRNA from 1 species